rnacentral:rRNA from 1 species
UAAGGAAUAUUGCUCAAUGGGAGAAAUCCUGAAGCAGCAACGCCGCGUGGAGGAUGAAGGGUUUUUAACUUGUAAACUCCUGUAAAGAAGGAAAAAAUUCCCAUUAGAUGGGAAAUGAUGGUACUUCUGGAGUAAGCCCCGGCUGACUACGUGCCAGCAGCCGCGGUAAUACGUAGGGGGCAAGCGUUGUCCGGAUUUACUGGGUGUAAAGGGUGCUCAGGCGGAUUUGUAAGUCAGAGGUGAAAUCUCACAGCUUAACUGUGAAACUGCCUUUGAUACUGCAAGCCUAGAGUAUGGAAGAGAGUGAUGGAAUAUCUGGUGUAGCAGUGAAAUGCGUAGAUAUCAGAUAGAACACCAAUGGCGAAGGCAGUCACUUGGUCCAUAACUGACGCUAAAGCACGAAAGCGUGGGUAGCAAACAGGAUUAGAUACCCUGGUAGUCCACGCCCUAAACGAUGAAUACUAGAUGUUGGCUUCGCAUGAAGUCAGUAUCUGAGCUAACGCAUUAAGUAUUCCACCUGGGAAGUACGAUCGCAAGGUUGAAACUCAAAUGAAUUGACGGGGUCAUAGCUGUUUCC